AUUGAACGCUGGCGGCAUGCUUUACACAUGCAAGUCGAACGGUAACAGGCCGCAAGGUGCUGACGAGUGGCGAACGGGUGAGCAAUACAUCGGAACACGUCCUGUAGCGGGGGACAACCUCGAGAAAUCGAGGCUAAUACCGCAUACGAUCCAAGGAUGAAAGUGGGGGACCGCAAGGCCCCACACUAUAGGAGUGGCCGAUGACGGAUUAGCUAGUUGGCGGGGUAAUAGCCCACCAAGGUUACGAUCCGUAGCUGGUUUGAGAGAACGACCAGCCACACUGGGACUGAGACCCGGCCCAGACUCCUACGGGAGGCAGCAGUGGGGAAUUUUGGACAAUGGGCGAAAGCCUGAUCCAGCCACUCCGCGUGAGUGAAGAAGGCCUUCGGGUUGUAAAGCUCUUUCGGCAGGAACGAAACGGUCUAGGUUAAUACCUUGGGCUAAUGACGGUACCUGAAGAAGAAGCACCGGCUAACUACGUGCCAGCCGCCGCAGUAAGAC
rnacentral:rRNA from 1 species